GGCAGCCGCAGAGCCGGGAACCACGAGACCCUGCAUGGCCGCCCUCUGCCCACUUGGCCCGGGGAUGCUACUGCACCGGGCAGAGUGCCAAGCGGUCAGUGCUUGUGGCAGAAGGACGGAAGAUGGCGUUAUGAGAAGUCGCAUGUUUCCUCUGCCGGCGGACUCCAAUCCUUUAUCCACGCAUACCUCGUGUCUCAGGUCAUGUGACGUAAAGGCAACGCAGCAGCACCGACUCCAGUACUGGGAUGCUGAUGUUCAACGUGCAAGCACUGCGGCAGAAGGUCCAGGGUCCCAGGUCCCAGCCUGUUUCAUAUUCAGUCCACAAACACUGGUUAAGGGCUCAUCCUAAAUCAGGUACUGUGGAAGAGCUAUCAAGACGAAAGUGGUGAGGAGCUGAACGUGCUAAAGCCAGGGACGGAUGUGUGUUUGGUGGCGUGGUUCCUGUCAUCUGCGUGAACUUCGGAGUCCUUGGGUUCAAACACUAGUUCUUUUGACUUUCUGUGGAUACCUGAUCAAGAUAACUUUCUG
rnacentral:lncRNA from 1 species